UACGUAGGGGUCGAGCGUUGUCCGGAGUUACUGGGCGUAAAGGGCUCGUAGGCGGCCAACUAAGUCGGACGUGAAAUCCCCAGGCUCAACCUGGGAACUGCGUCCGAUACUGGAUGGCUUGAAUCCGGGAGAGGGAUGCAGAAUUCCAGGUGUAGCGGUGAAAUGCGUAGAUAUUCGGAAGAACACCAGUGGCGAAGGCGGCUCACUGGUCCGGUACUGACGCUGAGGUGCGAAAGCGUGGGGAGCAAACAGG
rnacentral:rRNA from 1 species